CACCACGCUGCUGCCCUGGCAACGGAGGAUGCGGCGAGCGCGGGGAGGGGAGAGCAAUGGAUCGCAGAGACCCCGAGCGACUGUGUGGGCUCAGAGUGUCACUGCAGGAGAAAAGAAGUACCUGUAGAAUUUAUGAAGAAUAAAUGUGAGGAAAAAGAACGAAGCCGAAAAAUAAGGAAAUUGCUGCUGACAGCAUAUUGCCUCAAAUUAAUUUAUAGACAAGGCAGGAGAAAAAAUGCUUUGUGCCGUUCCUUUUUUUUUUUUUUUUUUUUUUAUGUGUUUCCCUGAACUAAUUAUCAGAGCCAAAUUCUCGGAAAUAAUUAGAUUUUCUUGUUUGCCCGGGAUUCGCGAGAUACUUGCGUGGAAAAGUAGAUAUUAUCAGAAAGGACUUUAACAAAGCUAUGUAGGACAGCAGGAAUGCACAGGAGCGCGCGUCCCACUGUUUUAUAGACUGCGAGAAAAAAAAAUGGCUUCAAAUAACUCCGCUCGGCUUUUAUCGAGAUGUGACUCAUAUUUCAGCAAAACGCUUCAAAACGAGCGGAAUUAAGGCCUUCAUCCUUUUUUUUUUUUUUCCCGGAGAACGGAGAAGAUGAGGUAAAUUCAUCACCCAGCUGCACCGCUCACAUGUAAAAUUAAUAGGCCUCCUCGGAAUUGCAUUUCAUUAACUAAUAUUUAAUUACAAUUUUACAAUAUAAAUUAAACGUUCAUUAAAAAAAAAGCCUCUCAUUCUGUGUUUUCUUGAUGGUCGCGUUAACCGGAAAGGAUUAUAGGAUAUCCCCCUGC